rnacentral:lncRNA from 1 species
CAAGGAUUUAAAUGCCGUGGCACGGAAUCGUGCCGAAAACUUGCCGGCACGGUACGGCACGAUGCGUGUUAGUAAAAAAAAUUCUUGUGUGCCGACACAUAAUAGCAUGAAAUAUUUAUUUUCUUUAGCAGCAAAAUAUUCUAACUAUUUAUUAUGUCUUUUUAUCAUAUCUUUUGAACUUUAUUGAUGAAAUUACUUACUAAUUUAAAGAAUAGAGGAUUUUGAGCUGUGCCAUCCGCACCGGAUCUGUAUUGUGUCGGUAUCUUCUUGGCACGGUACGGUACGGUAGAUACAGCUCGUGCCGAUGGGCACUUAAAACUUUGGUGUAUAGUAAAGUCCACAUGUGGUGUUUUUUUAAAAAUAAAAAAUAUUUGGUAUUUAUAAAAUUUCUGCGGUUAGAUUUAUCAUUUUGAUUAUUUUUAUCCGUUAAAUUAUAUUAUUCAACCAACCACAUACUCAACCCAGGAGACUUCUAUCAUCAUAACUGCACAUCUUUUUAAUCUAAGGGCCGAAACUCUAUAAGUA